UGGCUCUCAAUCGCUGAGCCCUGAUUCUUGUCAUUUUGAAAGGGUGUUUCGAGUUCUGUGGGGGUCGUGAUCCCUGCUCCCCCCUACUUGGCGCACCAAACCUGUUGCGGUCAAUCCCCUCGUCGCCUGGUCUUCGAGAACGAGCGCCUGCAAAAGAAGUCCGCACUAACCGGAGGUGACUCCGACGGAGACCCUCCGACGGUCAAGUCAGAGAGGAGACUAGGCA
rnacentral:lncRNA from 1 species